AUUGAACGCUGGCGGCAUGCCUUACACAUGCAAGUCGAACGGUAACAGGUUAAGCUGACGAGUGGCGAGCGGGUGAGUAAUGUAUCGGAACGUGCCCAGUCGUAGGGGAUAACUGCUCGAAAGAGCAGCUAAUACCGCAUACGACCUGAGGGUGCAAGCUGGGGAUCGCAAGACCCCGCGCGAUCGGAGCGGCCGAAAUCAGAUUAGGUAGUUGGUGAGGUAAAGGCUCACCAAGCCGACGAUCGGUAGCUGGUCUGAGAGGACGACCAGCCACACUGGGACUGAGACACGGCCCAGACUCCUACGGGAGGCAGCAGUGGGGAAUUUUGGACAAUGGGCGCAAGCCUGAUCCAGCCAUGCCGCGUGCGGGAAGAAGGCCCUCGGGUUGUAAACCGCUUUUGUCAGGGAAGAAAAGGUUCUGGCUAAUACCUGGGACUCAUGACGGUACCUGAAGAAUAAGCACCGGCUAACUACGUGCCAGCAGCCGCCGUAA
rnacentral:rRNA from 1 species